AAUGAAAUUAUGAUCAUGAAGUAAUGAUCAUGUGAAUGUUUGAUUAAUGUGUGGUGAGUAUGGUAGAAUGCUAUUCGCGAAGGAUACAGACGGUAUACCCCUAGCUGGAACAUUUGAAUUGUGCAGAGCGAUUUGUCAUAAGUUGAAGGAGGAGAAUGGAAUUACAUAUACUCUUGAUCAGAUUGUGGUAAGCAAUGGAGCAAAGCAGAGUGUUGCUCAGGCAGUGCUUGUAGUUUGUUCUCCCGGCGAUGAGACUUGUUUUCAAAGCAGACAACCUUGGUUGGGAAAUAUUGUCAAUUGCAGUGCCUUCUGCUAUGGCUUUGACAGUUGAUCCUAUUACUUCACUGGUUGACACAACAUUCAUUGGCCGAAUAGGAAAAUCAUUAUGAAGGCGAGAGAGAACUUAAUCACAUAUUGUGAAGAUCAAACACUAGAGAGUAAAAAUUACCAAUUUGUGGAGAUGAUGGGGAGUCUAUUUGCUAUUGUAAUAUAUCAAAUCUUUUUGUUUAUAAUUAGAUAUUGUUAUGACUUAAACUUUUCUUAUGUGAUUUUAAAGUAUCAUAGUUUAUUUGACUUCUAAAAUCUUUGUUUUUAUAGGUCACAAACA